AGAAGGAGCGGGAGGUUGCCGCUUUAUGGAAGGCCAUAUUAUUCAGCGAUCUCGCGUCCUUGUGUUCUCGUUCUACGUCACCAUCAACCGUCUAAGUUCAGUUCCAAUUCUCAAGAACAGAGGACGCACGAAAGCUCCCAGAUGUGUUCUUGAUAUCGAGGAUGCAUCGAGUGCAGACUUCAGAUAAUCGAGCCGUUAGAAAUCCCAGAAGAUACUGCGGGCAGCCGGUGUACGGAAGCCUGAGGCCUAACUGGACCGAAAAGGACACUUCAAGAAUUUCAAUGUUCAAAAAAAGGGAUCUUCUGGUGAUGAUGACUGCAUGGACGGAGCAAAGGACCUCACUGAAACUGAAGUACAGCUACACCAGCCAGGACUUAAUCUAGACACAUACUGGAUAAGAACAUCCUGAUCAAACCUGCCAGAUCAAACCAAAAAAUAAAUAAAUAAAUAAAAUACAAGUUCA